AACGAAGGAGCAAAGACGGAGAGUGCAGAAAAAAUAUCUUAUCUAGCUAUACUUUUGUUGGCAUAUAUGGUUUGCUUGCUUUGUUGAACUGUAAAGGACACCCAGAAUUUGAAUGGCUGUGCAAUUUGUAAUCCGAAUUACUUUCUUACUUCUGCUGACAUAUGGAUUAGCAGCAGCAGCACCUAUGGCGAAACCCAAGUGUCGUGAUCGCUGUGGAAAUGUUAGUAUUCCAUACCCUUUUGGAAUCGGUGGCAAUUGCUACAUGGAGAAGUGGUUCGAAGUUGUUUGCCAUGAAACUGCAGGCAGCCCUGUUAAAGCCUUCUUAACUGGUAUUGACGUGGAGUUGCUGGAAAUCAAAAUUGGUGAUUUGACUGGUAUUGAUUCUUACUCUCCUUAUGAGCCAGGAAUCGUUCGAGUCAACAUGCCAAAUAUUUCUUCGAAUUGUAGGGGUCAGCCAAGUGGUGGAGUGAAUAUGAGGGGAAGUCCUUUUUACUUCUCGUCGUAUCGGAAUAUAUUCAUUUCCACUGGUUGCGACAAUAUGGCGGUAAUGACCGGUAUUGAUCCUAUGGUUAUUGUUGGGUGCAGAUCCGAUUGCAAAAGUAGAAACAUGACAGGCAAUAAUAACUGUUCGGGCAUCAACUGCUGCCAGACCACAGUCCCUUAUGGGAUUCAAGUACUUGAUGUAAAAUUCAAAAGUAUAGAUGAAAACAACAAUGGCAGGGAUAAAUGCAAUUAUGCCUUCCUAGCACAACAGAAUUGGUUCGCAAACAUAACAGAUCCCUCUAACGAAGUGCAGAGUUGGGACAAAGUUCCUGUGGUGCUGGAGUGGACAGCAUCAAACAACUUUACUGCUGCCAUUGAUCGACAAGAGUUGCGUAGACGGAAUGCAGAUUCGUACUACACAAAUUACGGGGUGGAUUAUUAUUACUGCCGUAAUGGAUACAAAGGAAAUCCUUAUCUUAAGACGGGAUGUCAAGAUAUAAAUGAAUGCGAAGACGAGAAACUCAAUAAAUGUCUCAUCAAGUCAAAUUGUGAGAAUACAGAAGGCGGUUACACUUGCAACAAGCCAAGGUCUCGGGUGAAGAUAGCAAUUAUAGUUAUUUGUACAAGUUUUGGAGUAUUGCUUCUACUCCUUAUUACUUGGAGAUUAUACAAAGUGAUAAAGAAAAGAAACAAAAUCAAGCUCAAGCAAAAAUUCUUCAAGAGGAAUGGUGGAUUGUUAUUGCAACAACAAUUAUCUUCAAAUGAAAACAAUGUUCAGAAGACAAAAUUAUUCAAUUCAAAGGAGUUGGAAAAUGCGACUAAUCGUUUUAAUGAAAACAGAAUACUUGGUAAGGGUGGACAAGGUACGGUUUAUAAAGGAAUGUUAGUUGAUGGAAGAAUUGUGGCAAUUAAAAAGUGCAACACAGUGGAUGAGGGAAAUCUUGAACAAUUCAUUAAUGAGAUUAUCAUUCUUUCACAAAUCAAUCAUAGAAAUGUGGUUAAACUACUUGGGUGUUGUCUAGAGACAGAAGUUCCUUUGUUAGUUUAUGAAUUCAUUCCCAAUGGCACACUUUUUCAGUAUCUCCAUGAAGAAAAUGAAGAUUUUCCAUUACUAACAUGGGAUAUGCGCUUAAGAAUUGUCACAUAAAUUGCAGGAGCUCUAUCGUACUUACACUUAGCAGCUUCACAACCCAUUUACCAUCGAGACAUAAAAUCUUCAAACAUACUCCUUGAUGACAAAUAUAGAGCAAAAGUAGCAGAUUUCGGCACUUCAAGAUCAAUGGCUAUUGACCAAACUCAUGUAACCACACUAGUAUAUGGUACUAUUGGGUACUUGGAUCCAGAGUACUUUCAAACAGGUCAAUUAACUGAAAAGAGUGAUGUUUAUAGUUUUGGAGUAGUCCUUGUUGAGCUUUUAACAAGAGAAAAACCAAUUUCUUCAAUGAGAUCACAAGAAGGUAGAAGUCUAUCUACAUAUUUCUUUCAUUCACUGAAAGAGAACCGUCUCUUUGAUAUACUUGAUACUCAAGUAAGUAAGGUUAGUAAUAAAGAUGAAGUCAUGGCAAUUGCUAACCUUGCAAAAAGAUGUUUGCACUUGAAUGGAAAGAAACGACCUACGAUGAUAGAGAUCUUGAUGGAGUUAGAGGGAGUUCAAAAAAUUUCUCUUGUUCAACCAAAUUUUGAAGAGCUUGAAUAUGUUAGAAAUGAAGAAAUAGGGCCUUGGAAUGAGAUUUCUAUUUCAGCAAGUUCAUGUUUAGAAUCAGGUGCAACUUCAUCAUCAGACGUUCUACCGCUUUUAUCCAUCAAAUCACUUUGACUAAUAAACUAUGUACCUUUUUUU